UCUCCUUAUCAUUCUCUCUCCCGAAACCCUAGCCCCCAAAUCAGAAAACCCUAAUUUCAACUAUUUCUCUCUCUAUACCUCAAUAUUCCCAUGGCGAAGAAGCGAAAAACCAGAGCUUCCGAACCUUCACAACCAGUUGAAGAACCAGUAGAGAUUAAGCAAGAACCUGAGGUUGAAACCGCACAAGAAGAAGAAUACGAGAACGAUGCCGUAGAAGUAGAGGAAGAAGAAGCAGUACAUGAGGACGAAGAAGAACAAGAUCCCGAAGAGGAAGACGAAGAAGGCGGUGACGAUGAUGAGGAAGAAGAAGAAAUGCCUGGAUCUGGAAAUGACGCCGUAGAGGAUGAUAAUGAGAAGUCGGUUGAUGAACAGGAACAAGUUAAUGGAGGCGCUGAGGUGAAGAUGGAGGAAGGUAAUGAAGAGGAUUUGGAAGAUGAGCCACUUGAGAAUCUUUUAGAGCCUUUCACGAAGGAUCAACUUACAGCGCUUAUUAAAGAAGCUUUAGCUAAAUACCCUGAUUUCAAAGAAAAUAUUCAGAAAUUGGCUGAUAAAGAUCCGGCACACCGGAAAAUCUUUGUCCACGGUUUAGGUUGGGAUACGACAGCUGAAACGCUAACUAGUGUUUUUGCAACUUACGGUGAAAUUGAGGAUUGUAAAGCUGUUACAGAUAAGGUUUCGGGGAAAUCAAAAGGUUAUGGAUUUAUAUUGUUUAAGCAUAGGAGUGGUGCUAGGAAAGCUUUGAAAGAACCACAGAAGAAGAUUGGUACAAGGAUGACUUCUUGCCAGUUGGCUUCUGCUGGGCCGGUUCCGGCUCCUCCACCUACUACAGCAGCCCCACCGGUUUCGGAGUACACACAGAGGAAGAUUUUUGUUAGCAAUGUAGCUGCUGAUCUUGAACCUCAAAAGUUGUUGGAGUACUUCUCAAAGUUUGGUGAAGUUGAGGAGGGUCCACUUGGAUUGGAUAAACAAAGUGGGAAACCUAAGGGGUUUUGUUUGUUUGUGUAUAAGACUGUUGAGGGUGCUAGGAAGGCAUUGGAGGAGCCACAUAAGACCUUUGAAGGGCAUACCCUUCAUUGUCAGAAGGCGAUUGAUGGACCAAAGCAUAGUAAGAAUUUCCAUCAGCAGCAACAGCCUCAGUCACAACAGCAUUACCCUCAGCAUCAUCAUCAUAAUCAGCAGCAGCAUUAUUAUCAGCAUCCUGCAAAGAAGGGGAAAUAUUCAGGUAGCAGUGCAGGAGCAGGAUCAGCUGGGCAUUUAAUGGCACCAUCGGGGCCUGCACCUGUGGGAUACAAUCCUGCUGUGGCAGCUGUGACCCCAGCUCUUGGACAGGCACUGACAGCCCUGUUAGCUACACAAGGAGCUGGUUUGGGGAUUGGGAAUUUGCUUGGAGGUCUUGGUGGGCCAGUGAAUCAUCAGGGUGUGCAACCAGUGGUGAACAAUGCAACAGGAUAUGGUGCCCAGGGUGGAUAUGGACAGCCUCAUAUGCAAUACCAAAACCCUCAGAUGCAGGGUGGUGCAAGACCACAAGGUGGUGGUGCCCCAUACUCUGGCUAUGGAGGUCACUAGGAAAACUUAAGGUAUCUGUAAUGCUAUGGCUCUAUUUCCAAGUGAGAUUCCUUCAUAAAUGCAUCAAACUUUUAGUUUUGGACUGGUGAUUCUUCUGAAGUUCCGGGCACUCUCCAAAUGAAGUCUUUUACUAUCUCAAAAGUGACCUUUUGUUUAAAGACCAUAAUCUUCAAUGUGUAUUUUCUUUUUUAUUCAAGUACUUCUAUUCUGGUGAAUGUUUUUAAACACUAUGUAGUAUUUCGCACUAAAUUUUUCUAUAUUAAAAGUAUUGAGUAGAAGGUAGGGUAUCCUAUCCUUGUCUCACCAGUAUUUUAGAUAUUUAGCAAUGUCUUUUCAA